UACAGAGGAGCCAAGCGUUGUCCGGAUUGACUGGGCGUAAAGCGCACGCAGGCGGGUGCGCGCGUGGGGUGUGAAAUCUGGCCGCUUAACGGCCAGGCGCCAUCCCAUACGGCGCGACUGGAGGGCUGCAGAGGUCGAUGGAAUUGCCGGUGUAGUGGUGAAAUGCGUAGAGAUCGGCAGGAACACCCAGGGGGAAACCAGUCGACUGGGCAGCACCUGACGCUGAGGUGCGAGAGCGUGGGGAGCGAACCGG
rnacentral:rRNA from 1 species